AGCAUUGAGAGAGGACCUUUCCCUAGUACGAGAGGACCGGGAAGGACGCACCUCUGGUGUACCAGUUAUCGUGCCUACGGUAAACGCUGGGUAGCCAAGUGCGGAGAGGAUAACUGUUGAAAGCAUAUAAGUAGUAAGCCCACCCCAAGAUGAGUGCU
rnacentral:rRNA from 1 species